rnacentral:rRNA from 1 species
AGCGAACGCUGGCGGCAGGCCUAACACAUGCAAGUCGAACGAACCUUUCGGGGUUAGUGGCGGACGGGUGAGUAACACGUGGGAACGUGCCUUUAGGUUCGGAAUAACUCAGGGAAACUUGUUCUAAUACCGAAUGUGCCCUUCGGGGGAAAGAUUUAUCGCCUUUAGAGCGGCCCGCGUCUGAUUAGCUAGUUGGUUGAGGUAAUGGCUCACCAAGGCGACGAUCAGUAGCUGGUCUGAGAGGAUGAUCAGCCACAUUGGGACUGAGACACGGCCCAAACUCCUACGGGAGGCAGCAGUGGGGAAUCUUGCGCAAUGGGCGAAAGCCUGACGCAGCCAUGCCGCGUGAAUGAUGAAGGUCUUAGGAUUGUAAAAUUCUUUCACCGGGGAAGAUAAUGACGGUACCCGGAGAAGAAGCCCCGGCUAACUUCGUG